CACUGUGUGAACUGUGUCAACAAGAUUUGAUUCAAGCGUACACACAAAACAACACACUUAACUUGUGUGUUUGUUAUGGUUGUGUGCACCAUCAUUAAGCAGCAGUAAUGAAGACUGCUAACAUUUUACUUUUACCUACCUGAACACCACACACCAGCAGGCCUCUCUUAGAUUAAAUCACCACUGCCUGAUAAUUAAAAUGGAUCCUCAAAAAGAAUCCACUCUUCUAAAAUAUAUUAAUAUCCUUGGUGGGCAUGAUGUUAUAAAGCUAAUGCAUUUAAAAAGUGGACACUUCUACCUCUAUUUACUGAACAUUUUAGAUUAUCCAUGUAACAGUGAGUGUAAAUCUGAUGAGGAGAGGCUUCAUUUGGUUAA